rnacentral:rRNA from 1 species
CUACGGGGUGCAGCAGUGAGGAAUAUUGCACAAUGGAGGAAACUCUGAUGCAGCAACGCCGCGUGGAGGAUGACGCAUUUCGGUGUGUAAACUCCUUUUAUGAGUCAAGAAAAUGACGGUAGCUCAUGAAUAAGCACCGGCUAACUCCGUGCCAGCAGCCGCGGUAAUACGGAGGGUGCAAGCGUUACUCGGAAUCACUGGGCGUAAAGGACGCGUAGGCGGGAUAUCAAGUCAGGUGUGAAAUCCUACAGCUUAACUGUAGAACUGCACUUGAAACUGGUAACCUAGAGUAUGGGAGGGGGAGAUGGAAUUAGUGGUGUAGGGGUAAAAUCCGUAGAUAUCACUAGGAAUACCUAAAGCGAAGGCGAUCUCCUGGAACAUAACUGACGCUAAGGCGUGAAAGCGUGGGGAGCAAACAGGAUUAGAUACCCCGGUAGUC